GACGAACGCUGGCGGCGUGCUUAACACAUGCAAGUCGAACGUGAUUUUUGUGGAAAUUCUUUCGGGAAUGGAAAUGAAAUGAAAGUGGCGAACGGGUGAGUAACACGUGAGCAACCUACCUUACACAGGGGGAUAGCCGUUGGAAACGACGAUUAAUACCGCAUGAGACCACAGAAUCGCAUGAUAUAGGGGUCAAAGAUUUAUCGGUGUAAGAAGGGCUCGCGUCUGAUUAGCUAGUUGGAAGGGUAAAGGCCUACCAAGGCGACGAUCAGUAGCCGGUCUGAGAGGAUGAACGGCCACAUUGGAACUGAGACACGGUCCAAACUCCUACGGGAGGCAGCAGUGGGGAAUAUUGCACAAUGGGGGGAACCCUGAUGCAGCGACGCCGCGUGAGCGAAGAAGGUUUUCGAAUCGUAAAGCUCUGUCCUAUGAGAAGAUAAUGACGGUAUCAUAGGAGGAAGCCCCGGCUAAAUACGUGCCAGCAGCCGCGGUAAUACGUAUGGGGCGAGCGUUAUCCGGAUUUACUGGGCGUAAAGGGUGCGUAGGUGGUCCUUCAAGUCGGUGGUUAAAGGCUACGGCUCAACCGUAGUAAGCCGCCGAAACUGGAGGACUUGAGUGCAGGAGAGGAAAGUGGAAUUCCUAGUGUAGCGGUGGAAUGCGCAGAUAUUAGGAAGAACACCAGUGGCGAAGGCGGCCUUCUGGGCCAUAACUGACGCUGAGGAGCGAAAGCUAGGGGAGCAAACAGG
rnacentral:rRNA from 1 species